AAACGUAGGAUGCGAGCGUUAUCCGGAUUUACUGGGCGUAAAGCGCGUGUAGGCGGUUCGGUAAGUUGGAUGUGAAAGCUCCCGGCUUAACUGGGAGAGGUCGUUCAAUACUGCCGAGCUAGAGGAUGGUAGAGGGAGGUGGAAUUCCGAGUGUAGUGGUGAAAUGCGUAGAUAUUCGGAGGAACACCAGUGGCGAAAGCGGCCUCCUGGACCAUUUCUGACGCUCAGACGCGAAAGCUAGGGUAGCAAACGGGAUUAGAGACCCCGGUAGUCCUAGCCGUAAACGAUGUAGACUUGGCGUCGGCGGGUUUAAAUCCGUCGGUGUCGAAGCUAACGCGAUAAGUCUACCGCCUGGGGACUACGGCCGCAAGGUUAAA
rnacentral:rRNA from 1 species